GCACUGGUAGCUCAAUGGAUAGAGUACCCGGCUACGAACCGGGCGGUUAUAGGUUCGACUCCUGUCCAGUGCG
rnacentral:tRNA from 1 species